AUUGAACGCUGGCGGCAUGCCUUACACAUGCAAGUCGAACGGCAGCACGGGAGCAAUCCUGGUGGCGAGUGGCGAACGGGUGAGUAAUAUAUCGGAACGUGCCCAGUCGGGGGGGAUAACGCAGCGAAAGCUGUGCUAAUACCGCAUACGAUCUACGGAUGAAAGCGGGGGAUCGCAAGACCUCGCGCGAUUGGAGCGGCCGAUAUCAGAUUAGCUAGUUGGUGGGGUAAAGGCCCACCAAGGCGACGAUCUGUAGCUGGUCUGAGAGGACGACCAGCCACACUUGAACUGAGACACGGUCCAGACUCCUACGGGAGGCAGCAGUGGGGAAUUUUGGACAAUGGGCGCAAGCCUGAUCCAGCAAUGCCGCGUGCAGGAUGAAGGCCUUCGGGUUGUAAACUGCUUUUGUACGGAACGAAACGGCCCUUUCUAAUACAGGGGGCUAAUGACGGUACCGUAAGAAUAAGCACCGGCUAACUACGUGCCAGCCGCCGCCGUAA
rnacentral:rRNA from 1 species